GAGGACUGGGGUUGGGUUAGGGUUGGGGGUUAGGGGAGUGGGUUAGAGGACUGGGUUAGGGUUAGGGGACUGGGUUAGAGGACUGGGUUAAGGUUAGGGGACUGGGUUAGAGGACUGGGUUAGAGGACUGGGUUAAGGUUAGGGGACUGGGAUCGUUACAGUCACCUGUGUGAAUAUUUUUGUGAUAACAAGAGGAUAUUGUAAAAAGUUGAAGUAAUAUAACUAAUCAGAAUAUUAAGUUAUAUGUGUACAGUACCUUUCAAAUUAGAAUUUUGAAUGACUGAGCCUAAGGAUUUACUAUCAUUUUAAUUGAUCUGAAUGUAGCCUAACUAGCUAGCUGUGCAUUCUGACCUGUGGCUGCGUACACUGGGCCCUAUUCACGGAAAAAAAUGGUUUAUUAAUGUAGAAUCAACUGGAGCUACCUACCAUCUUGCACUGGUUUUAACUUGUUUUAACUCAAAGAUCGGAAUCUCACAAUGGCCCACAUUUUCAUGAUUGCGCAAAAAAUGACAAACACAAUCUUCAUCUCAAAGUGUUACAGCCAUGGCAUAAGACAACCGAAAGAUCAUCUCAUCAGAUGACCAACAUGGAUUGUUCUAUUAUUUCCUCUUCUCUUCUGACUUAUUCCUUCUACCAUAUUUACCUUCUGGAAAGUCUUGCCCAUACAGAGCACGGUCUAAAGUUGAUGUCUCUGCCUGAUCACCACUUAAUCCAUUUACAAUGACAGAACCAAAACUCUAUUAAAUUGUUGUAAGCUGUUGCUUAUUUGCAACAAUAAGAAACACACAUUGUGGUUUCCUGUGUCUUUCCAAAAAACGGCGCUGUCUGAGUAAAAUUUCAGGUUUACUUUGUGAACAAGUUUAUAAUUUGAAAAGGAUUUGAACGUUACAAUAAUUUAAAGAAAACGCUGAGUGAACACGGCCCUCAGUGUGUGAUGUUAGCUACUAUAACAGGGUGUUAAACAUUAUUAUUAUUUUAUACAAAGUUAUAAAUAUAUAGAUUUUGUUCCAUUAUCAGUUUACAUUUGAAGAGGUGAGGGAUUAUGGUCAUCCUCGUGGAAUAUCUACUGUGCAACGUUGACUCCUUUCUGCCGUGGAUGAGGUUAUUUGAGGGGAUAACCCAAAAAAAAAUUGGUUUCUGUUCAUGUUCUUUGGUGCUUCUACAAUGCAGUGUUCAGAGUACCAGUUUCAUCAAUCACUUCAUUCUCACAGAUGUGUGACUUCUUCUGUACCAUUUAGAAAUGAAUACUGUAACCCCACUUCUGAUUCAUUAUUCAAUUUAAAGUAAUAAUUAAAGUACAUUUAAUUGAAUGUUUGUAAUCUCGAACAAAACAACUCAUAUUUCCAUAAGUAUAUAGACUUUAUUAGCUUUGGUUUACAGCUUUAAUCAUUUCUAUCAACUGACUUUGUCCUUACUGUAAUUUGCACACACAGGAGAAAUAUUUCACAAUAAGGUCUUAUUUUUUUCCACAACAGAGGUUUUUACUUUGGCAGAUUAACAUGGAAUUAAGGUUGAUGUGUAGUUUGUUGAACAUGAGCAUCACUAACGAUUGAAUUAGAUAUUGAGUUGACAUAGAUGAUUUUUAUAUCUGUGAUUUUAAAUGGCAAGAUCUUUGUUCAUUUGUCCAAUAUAUCCUCCACAGCGACCUCUGGUUGGCUGUUGACGAGCUGCCGGUGAAUGCCUGCAUACUCUCUUUAAGCUGAAGCAAUAAUUGCAAUGUCGGGAUGUGGCCGCUGCUGCUUACACACCAAUAGUUGACUCUCAUACAGAUGGGGAAUAAUGAAGGAAACCAGGAGGGUUGAAUUGUGGACAAGAACGCUCUCCACUGGCUCCCGACAGGGUUUUAACUUGCUUAAGCUUUCACUUCCAAUGAUUGUUUGUUUUCUAUUUUUUUUCUCUCUCUCUCUCUCUCUCUCUCUCUCUCUCUCUCUUUCUCUCUCUCUCUCUCUCUCUCUCUCUCUCUCUCUCUCUCUCUCUCUCUCUCUCUCUCUCUCUCUCUCUCUCUCUCUCUCUCUCUCUCAUGGGUGCCAUUAUUCAUAUAUUAAUGACCAUGCCAAUGAGCUGGUUGGGUUCUGGCGUGUGGCCUAUACAUUUAGUUUUAUUCUACGCUACUGGUUCUAAUAAAGUAGGCUAUAGCUGUAUGAGGAUAGAUAUUUUCCAUGCCUUGAUUUAAACUAAAACCAGCUCUUUCUGACUCUGGAUCAGUGGCCUUGGUUUGAGGAUGAUGAGGAAGGGUUGGACAGCAGGGUCUGAUGGUGUGUUUGGGUUUAACUGAAGAUAGUUUUAUUUAUUUUUUAUUUUGUUUCAAUUGUGCAUUUCUUCAUUACUUUAUAGUCAUUUAACAUGGUCUUAUAAGAAAGAAAGACGCAAUGAUAAAGAAAAGAUAAUAAAGUUCCUUAGUGUUCACAUUGCAUGUCUGUCCUGGUUUUUCUUAUCUGAUUUCUGUGUUGCUUGUAUUUGCCUACAUUCUUUUCUCAGGGGUAAAUCGUUAAACUAGCUUUUGCAUUCAUCAACAGUAUAUUCUCACAUAUAAGCCCACAUCAUAAAAGUAAUUUCAAUAUGGUAACAGUAAGUUAGUCUGUGGUUUUUGGUUGAGCCUUUGAAAUAUAAGCUUCGCGAAAUCUAUCGAUUUGGGGCUCGUGCCGAAAACCCACCUCCCCAUGGGCCGGCUGGCUGGUCUCCAGGGAUCGGCGGUAGUGUUUAGGGUUUAGUGUUUCGGUGUUCCAGUGUUUUAUUGUCUGCUGUUUUAUUGUCUGCUGUUUGCCGACACUCUCCUCCAAGCUGCUUCUCGAGUCACUCCAGAAGCUGACAUGACGCUUCAAGUUCACACUUCAACGCGUCGCAGUCCGCUGGAAGUAAGUCAGUAAGUAACAUGGCGGAGGAGAGCUAUACAGGAUCAGGGGAUGCAGAUGAUACAGAUGAGCUUCUCUAUACUGAUGGGGAGGACAACAGAAGCAUGUUGGACCUGAAUCCUCUUCCGCUGAGACUUGACCCCUGUGACCUGCUGAUGGACUCGAUAGAUGUUCAACUGAGUCGACUUCAGGUGCAGAAUCAGAAAAACCAGGAGAGUUCAGGAGGUCUCAGUGGCUGUGAUGAAGCUCCUUUCAGGCGGCAGUGCUCAGGGAGCAGAGACACCGGCCUUGGAACACCAACCACCAGCCCCCCGAUAUCCUGUCUGCAGCCUGGGCCCCGCGAGGCCAAGGGACCGGCCCCAGGAAAGACGAGGCCGGACGUCUCUCAGGGAGCCCCCCCAUGCCCCCUCCAGAGGGGAGCGCAGCCUGGACGGGCCUGUAGGAGCAGGGAGCAGGAGGAGGCGGAGGAAGGGGCGGAGUCCCGCAGAGAGCAGUGCCUUUGGAGGCUGGGCCGCCUGCUAGGGGACCCCUUUGUUGCUUCAGGAGUAGGAAGGACUCCUGCUCCUCCUCCUCUACAGCCGGACAGCUUCUGCACCGAGGACCUCCUCCGUUGCUCCCCAGAGGAGAGUGUGGAGGGGGAGGAGGGCUGGUGGGCAGGAGGCCCCUCCCAGGGGGUCCGGGAGCAGGGAGACGUGGUGGACGUGACUCGGGGCGGACCAACAGGGUUCCUCGUGGAGGGCGGUAGGGGUGCACGUGUUCUUCGUCAUCCUCCUCUUCCUCAGCCACAGCCACCCCAGACCCACAGCCGGGACAACAUGUUGUGUUCUGAGGAACGCCACUCUUGUGAUGUUCAUCGGACGGAAGAAAGACAAGGAAGCGGAGAAACUAAAGCCGGGCAGAGACAGCGAGGUUCCCAGAAGACCUGCGAUUACAUCAGCAGCCGGUCCGGACUGUCGACUCCAGACACCCAGGCCCCGGUCCCACCAUGCAGCCACAAGGCUGCCCACCCUGAGAGCAGAGGACGGCGGAACAAGGGGCCUUGUCCUGAGCCCAGAGGUCUGGCAGGUAACUGAUCUGCUACAGUGCUAAACCAUCACACUUUCCUGUUCCCUGUUCUUCCUUAACGCUAGUUUGCUUCUUCCUCAUGAGGUGGAGCGAUGUGGGGGUCUGACUCCGUCUGCCCUCCGCCAUUCCCUCAGACCCUCUGCAGCAGGACAGGAUGGCCGUCGUUCAUGCCAUCCAUUCAGAACACGGAGGGCUACUGCAGCGACCGGAGUGAUGACCACACACCCACACCAGCUCCCGGAAAAGGAGGUGACGGAGGUUCAGCUUUCCGCCAAGCAAGGCAGACUAGGAGAGCCACCCCCAGUCCCAGGUACGGGCGCUCUACGGGUGGGGAUGAGGGUGAUGAGGACACAGACGAAGGGCACUGCAGCCGCAGGAGUAAGAACCAGAUGACCCUAGAAGUCCAGUUGGAGAAGAUGAAAUGCGAUGGGUCCAGGAUGGAGGAUGUUCUCAGGACUCUCCGCCAUAAGUGUGAAACAGAGGAGGGGAAACUGGAGCUGAGAAGAGAAGCGCUGCGUGAGUCAGAGUCUUCCAUCUCUGACGCUCAGCAGAAAACAAAGCAUGCUUUGCAGGAGCUGGCCCAGAUUUGUACCGAGACAGCACAGAUGGAGUUGGAGGGACAGAAACUGGACACCCGUCUGAGGGAAAGAAAGCCCAGUCUUCAGCUGUGUAGCCUGAGGAGCGAGUCCUGUCUCCAGCCAAUCGGGGACAUGGAGGAGGAGCCUGGAAAUCUGCGCAGAAUGACCCAAGAUGGCUGCCACGCUGAGACGAAAGCGCCGGGUUUGGUGGUGUCCAUCUUGGAGAGGCUGGAGACGGAGCGGCAGCUGGACUCCACCAAAACCCAACUGUUUGCAGAGAAGCGACGCUCUCGGGACAAGCUGGACUCCAUGCAGGAGCGGUUGGAUGAGGCUGAGGAAGAGCUCCAGAGGGCCAGAGAGGAGCAGGGCCUGCUGAGGUCCAGGAUUGAGGCUCUAGAGGAGGAACAGAGGCAGAAACAGGAGCUUGUGGUGGCUCUGCAGCGGGGGUCCGGGGGGCUGCGGGGCCAGCUGGUUGAGUGUAAGGAGAGGCUGGGCUCCCUGGAGAAGAUUGUAGCCCAAAAGGACCUUCAGAUAAUUUGCGCCCAGGAAGUGCAGGAGGCUCUGCGUGCUGCCAGAAACAGCCUACAGGGGGAGCUCCAAACAAUGACACUCCAGCACUGCAAGGUAGGCAAGAUGGUGGCAGAAGAGAAAGACCUCGCUUUGAGGGAACAGGCUGAGGUGUUCACACGGCAGCUGGAGUCUGCUCAAACCUCCCUGAAGCUGAGCGAGGACGUGGCCAGGGGGCUGAGGGGGGCUCUGCACCAGCAGGAAGAGACUGGGAAGAAACGGGAAGAGCAGAUGCAUGAUGAAGCCAAAGAAAAGGUCCGGAAGGCUUCAGAGGUGGAGAAGGAGAACAUGGCUGCCCUGCAGCAGCUGCAGGAGAGGAACCAGGAAGCGCUGGAGGGAGCUAGGCGUAACCUUGAGGAGGAGAGGAAGAACUCUCAGGCUCUUCAGAAACGCGCGGCCGAGCUGCAGACUAAGGUAGAGGAGCUGGAGGGAGCGUUCUGUUUUCAGAAGAGAGAGCAGGACGCGGCGCUAGCCAUGCUACACAGCUCGCUAACGGAGGAGCGCCGUGCCGAGCUAAAGCGACAACGCAGACACAUGGAGCAGGAGCUUGCUGUGAGGCUGCGAAGGCUGGAGGAGACAGGCCAGCUGGCGCAGAGGGAGGCAGAGCGACUGCGCCGGGAGAUGGGUGAGAGGGAGGAGAGCCACCAGAGGACCACAGCCAUGCUGGAGCAGCAGCUGAGACAGGUCACCCAGGGGCUGGUGGCCGAGGGCCAGCAGCUCUGCCUCCUGGUGGACCAGGGAGGAUCCAGAGGAGAGCCCACGCAGCUCCCUCAGAGUCCUACUGCAGCCCAGGCCUGCCAGUACCUGCACGAUCUGAGGGUGCAGUUGCAGAACUUCAUCCACCAUCUUCUCCAGGAGCUGCAGUCUCAGAAACAGAACGCUUCCAGACUGAAGCACGCCCAGGAGCAGGAGUUGUGUAUCCAGAGGGAGAAGAUGGAGAUGGAGAAACAGCAGGCCUUGCAUUCCCUGAAGGAGCGUCUCAUUCAGGAGCACGUGGAGGAGUUGAGCAGCGUGAGGCGGGGGCCCGGGGCCUCCCUACGAAGGCAACGGCAGGCCACAGACCAGGAAGUGAGGCAGGUCCAGAGCAGCAGGGGCCGGUUGAAGAGCCUGACCGGGUCUGAGGAGAAGCUCCCAGCUGAGGGGGAGAGACGGAUCGGUAGGAGCCAAGAGAGGAAGCCCAGGAGGCCUGAUGGAGCGACGAGCCUGGCGGGCGAGGCGUCGGGCGACUCUGGGGGACAUCGGCUGGUGGCAGACCCCUCCUGCCACGCACCCGGGUCUCCCCCCCGCCCAGCCUCUGACCCCGCCUCCCUGAGGAUCCUUCACCACCUCCGGAGCCGGAUCCGAGAGCUCCGCGCCGAGGGCCAGAGCGGCCCCUCCCCCGCUCCGCCCAGGCAGGGCAGCGACCUUUUGGGGUCCUACCUAGAGACGGUACGGCCCCCGGUGGAGAGGACUCGGACCGCCUGUCCCUUAGUAAGCUGAGGGCUUACUAGUCUGACAUUCAGUUUACUAUCCUGUGAUGAGACAUUGGUAUCUUUUUUUUUGACCUUAUUAAAGAAAAUGUGUGAAACAUUGCAAAAGACAUCACAUUCACGUUAAAUGGACGACUAUUAGCCAUAUUAGGAUUUAUGAGUUCAUAGCGC
ensembl:lncRNA